rnacentral:rRNA from 1 species
UACGGAGGGUGCAAACGUUGCUCGGAAUCAUUGGGCGUAAAGCGCGUGUAGGCGGUCCGGUAAGUCCGCUGUGAAAGUCCAGGGCUCAACCCUGGGAUGCCGGUGGAUACUGUCGGGCUAGAGUACGGAAGAGGCGAGUGGAAUUCCCGGUGUAGCGGUGAAAUGCGCAGAUAUCGGGAGGAACACCAAUUGCGAAGGCAGCUCGCUGGGACGUUACUGACGCUGAGACGCGAAAGCGUGGGGAGCAAACAGG